UGUGGGUGGCUUCAAACACUUGGGGGCAAGCAGCUCGACAGCUCUACACUGCUGAGUGGAGGAAAUAACAAGAAAAGAACAAGAGGCUGUUUAUUGACAGUUCCCUGAGGCUGAGACAGAUGGGAACCGAGAAAAGAUUACAGAAUUGGGGCAGCUGGGACGCAGCUCCCGACACACCUGGGCGUGCUCGGUGAUGGCUUCAGACAGCCUCCUUCAGACAAGCAGCAAACCACACGGAAAGGUGCCUGGAACGGAGUCAGGAGUCAAGUUCUUUAGAGGGAGGCAUCCGGGUGAAGAGGAAGAUUGCAUCUCGCUGGCACUAGGGAGAUGGGGCCAAGGCUGGCCUGGUGCCUGUCCUUCUGCUGUCUCUACAGCAGUCCACCUGGUCCUGUCCUCAGAGAAAGUGUAUCUGUGGAAAUAUGUAAUGGAGCGCCCAAGCAAUCUCACCAUUGUGGAGUCGAAAGCACCCAGGAUGACAUCUGAAUCUCUGCUGCUGACCUUGUUUCCCUAAGGUUCCCUGGCAAAACCAUGUGGAUGAGAGCAUGACCAUUAGAAAAAGGGCAUUUUAAACCUCUGGGUUUUUUUCAAGUUAAAAACAUACAAACCACUUUUCUAUAGUCAUAUAGUUAACUUUUGAUUAUUCAGGGACACGGGGAUAAAAGUUAGGAUGACCAAACCAGGAAAAACAGGGGAAAGAAAAAAGGAAACAACUGUAAAGUUCAUUUUUAAAAAUCAGAGUAAAAUGAAAGAAUUAAAAUCAAGUAUAUCUGUUCUUACACUAUGAAUGGACUGAACUUGUCCAUUAAAGUCAGAAACUGAGUGAGCUUAAAAAGAAUAAACCGCCCUAAAUGCUGUUUCCAACGAACACCUGACACACAAUGACAAAAAGGAAAUGGGAUAGUAAGUUACCUCAAAAUCCAUACUUGUUCAUGAUUUUAACUGCUUUCCUCCAUCCGACUUCUUGCCUCAAGCAAGGUUUUUAGAAAAGUCAAAUUGGCAAUCUUAAGGACCCCUAAUAUUUACAAACAACAUAAUUCUCCAGUGCAAAUAUAAGUAAAGAAUUUAUGUUAAAGCAAGUUGUAUCUGUCAGGGUCCAGUCAGGAAGACAGAAAUUGCAACAACAGACAAAUUCAUAUGAGGAACUGGUUACACAAGUUGUUGGAGGGACCAAAGGGCAAAAGGAGACACAGCAAGGUGACACAGACAGCGAGUGCAGGAAACAGCCAUCAUCCUAUGGCUGGGGGAAGCAAAAGGGAAGUUGGGGCUGUCAGAAUCUAGAAGUCAAACCCAAUUUGUAAUACCUGAAACCUAGAGCCCGUUGGAGGAUUUUCUCCCAACACUGCUCAUGUCAUGUUAUGUUAGGAAAGAGAUAGAUAGUAGGCAUGACCCAGGAAAAUUCUCUCUGUUCUGAUGUAGGAAAGACGUUAUUAGGGUUCGAAGCCGACCACCAAGAAAGAAGUCUUGAGACGUCUUUGGUGCA